rnacentral:lncRNA from 1 species
UUGUAAGCGUGGCCAGGUUCAGACCGUUCGACUACUAUUGCUGUGCUGACGACAUGAGUAGUAGCUAAUAUGUAUAGGAGCAAGUCCUCGUUUGGAGAUGGAGCAGUGAGUACAGGAGGCUUUGACAGAAAGUCUUUGAGUUGCGUUAGUGCCUUGUCUGCCUCUUCUGUCCAUUUGAACUUGUCCUCGUAUUUGAGAAGAUUAAAAAAGGGUAGUCCCCGUUCUCCAAGUCUCGAGAUGAACCGAU